rnacentral:rRNA from 1 species
AACGAACGCUGGCGGCAGGCCUAACACAUGCAAGUCGAGCGGACCCUUCGGGGUUAGCGGCGAACGGGUGAGUAACGCGUGGGAAUAUGCCCUUCUCUACGGAAUAGUCCUGGGAAACUGGGGGUAAUACCGUAUACGCCCUUUGGGGGAAAGAUUUAUCGGGGAAGGAUUAGCCCGCGUUGGAUUAGGUAGUUGGUGGGGUAAUGGCCUACCAAGCCGACGAUCCAUAGCUGGUUUGAGAGGAUGAUCAGCCACACUGGGACUGAGACACGGCCCAGACUCCUACGGGAGGCAGCAGUGGGGAAUCUUAGACAAUGGGGGCAACCCUGAUCUAGCCAUGCCGCGUGAGUGAUGAAGGCCUUAGGGUUGUAAAGCUCUUUCAGCUGGGAAGAUAAUGACGGUACCAGCAGAAGAAGCCCCGGCUAACUCCGUG